AAAUAAGUAAGCUAACUUUUAAGCUUUUAGGUUCAUACCCUAACUAUAGACUCUCUUCUCUUAUUUA
rnacentral:tRNA from 1 species